rnacentral:rRNA from 1 species
AUUGAACGCUGGCGGAAUGCUUUACACAUGCAAGUCGAACGGCAGCACGGACUUCGGUCUGGUGGCGAGUGGCGAACGGGUGAGUAAUGUAUCGGAACGUGCCCAGUCGUGGGGGAUAACGUAGUGAAAAUUACGCUAAUACCGCAUACGAUCUAUGGAUGAAAGCGGGGGAUCGCAAGACCUCGCGCGAUUGGAGCGGCCGAUAUCAGAUUAGGUAGUUGGUGGGGUAAAGGCACACCAAGCCAACGAUCUGUAGCUGGUCUGAUAGGACGACCAGCCACACUGGAACUGAGACACGGUCCAGACUCCUCCGGGAGGCAGCAGUGGGGAAUUUUGGACAAUGGGCGAAAGCCUGAUCCAGCCAUUCCGCGUGCAGGAUGAAGUCCCUCGGGUUGUAAACUGCUUUUGUACAGAACGAAAAGGUUUCUACUAAUACUAGGAGCUCAUGACGGUACUGUAAGAAUAAGCACCGGCUAACUACGUGCCAGCCGCCGCCGUAA